GUUCACGCCAUUCUCCUGCCUCAGCGUCUGCCUCAGCGUCUGCCUCAGCCUCCCGAGUAGCUGGGACUACAGGCAGCCGCCGCUACGCCCCGCUAAUUUUUUGUAAUUUUUAGUAGAGACGGGGUUUCACUGUGUUGGCCAGGAUGAUCUCAAUCUCCUGUGUCUUUAACUCUUCUUAAUUCCCCACUGAUGACGAAAAUGAUAGAAAGCAAUAAACCAGAUUUGAAAUUCAGAGUGAAACAUCUAAGAUCGUCUGCAGUGCAGUGGCACGCUCUCUGCAACCUCUGUCUCCCGGGUUCAAACCAUUCUCCUGCCUCAAUCUCCAGAGUGGCUGAUAUUACAGGAUUCCACCACCAAACCCAGGUUUAUAUGUGCAACUUGACAUUCCAAACAAAUACUUCAAGUCAAAAUAUUCCAAGCCGAAAUUCCUUCCAAACAUGCAUUUCAGCCUGGUUAUCUCUUGAAACCCUAAGGCAAAAAGUCA
rnacentral:lncRNA from 10 species